AGAGUUUGAUUCUGGCUCAGGAUGAACGCUAGCUACAGGCUUAACACAUGCAAGUCGAGGGGCAGCAUUGGAGUAGCAAUACUCAGAUGGCGACCGGCGCACGGGUGAGUAACACGUAUCCAACCUGCCGCUUACUCGGGGAUAGCCUUUCGAAAGAAAGAUUAAUACCCGAUGGUAUAAAGAGUUCGCAUGUUCUCUUUAUUAAAGAAUUUCGGUAAGCGAUGGGGAUGCGUUCCAUUAGAUAGUUGGCGGGGUAACGGCCCACCAAGUCUACGAUGGAUAGGGGUUCUGAGAGGAAGGUCCCCCACAUUGGAACUGAGACACGGUCCAAACUCCUACGGGAGGCAGCAGUGAGGAAUAUUGGUCAAUGGACGAGAGUCUGAACCAGCCAAAAGUAGCGUGAAGGAUGACUGCCCUAUGGGUUGUAAACUUCUUUUAUAAGGGAAUAAAGUGAGGGACGUGUCCCUUUUUGUAUGUACCUUAUGAAUAAGGAUCGGCUAACUCCGUGCCAGCCGCGGC
rnacentral:rRNA from 1 species